rnacentral:misc_RNA from 1 species
UUUAAAACUAAAUAGAGUUUAAAUCGAGUGAAUGGAUAAUGAAGCGCAACAAAUCGGGAAUUAACUGAGGGAAUCUAACCAAAAUGAGAAAUGGCUUCCACAAGUAGCAGUCAGCCGGAGAAGAACCGAUCACAUGUCCCGCUUUGCCGCCUGGGAACAGAGUCUGUCAGUCGCACGAGUGCCGCUGAGGAGCCCAGUGGGCAGAGGGAAUGCUACUACUACACCCCAGCUACCUCCCCGCACCAUCACCACCACCACCAACACCACCACCAGCACCAUCACCAUCACCACCAGCACCACCAUCACCAUCGCCUGAAGCAGCACCACCGGCAUCAUCAUCGUCAUCAUCAUCAGCAUCAGCAGCAGCACAAUCAUCAGAACCAGCAGAUGCAGCACCACUGGCCAUCGCGACUGGGUCCAAUUGGUCCCUGGUUGGGCGCAAUGACCGCCUAUCGACUGCUGACAAUCAGCCUCCUAAUUGGCAUUCUGUGUCCACAUCACGUCCAGGGAGCGGACCCCAAGUUCGAUCCGACCACGCGCAUGCGCCUGGUUCUUGUGCCGGCGGACGCACAGGUCAACUCGGUAAUCUACAGGUUGCGUGCCACCGACGAGGAGUUCGACUAUCCGCUGACCUUCGAGUUCGUGGGCGAUGCCAGCGCCUCCACCGUCAAGGUGGAAUCGCUUCCCUGCACCAAGUACAAUUCCGUGUGCCAGGCGAACAUCGUACUCCAGCGGCGAUUGGAGCCGGGCAGAUAUUAUGACUUCCAGGUAUCGGUGAAGGACACCAAGGGUGGGAUGACCACGCAACUCUGCUCAAUUACGGCCACCAACUUCACCACGCCGCACGACCUCAUCUUCCCGCACAAGCCCGGCAUCAUAAUGAUACCCGAGGAUGCUAAACGCGGCACGGAAUUGGAUUACGUAAUUGCCCGCAAGAAUCCGCUGUUUCAGAAACCAGUCUACCUCGAGUUAUGGGGUUCUCCGCUGUUUGCCAUAAGACAAAAAAUCGUAUCUUCCGAGACCACAGAAGGCACCGUUUUCCUCCUGGGACCAUUAGACUUUGAGAAGCAAGCCAUGUACCAUCUAACGAUACUAGCCAAUGAUGCCUAUGCUGAGCCUGGCCAAGAUAGUCGCAAUAUAGCGGGCACUGAGAUAGUGGUUAUCGUGCAGGAUGUGCAGGAUCAGCCGCCAGUAUUCACCUCUGCUCCUCCAGUGACCAAGCUGCCACCGGGCAUACUGCCGGGCGAUAAGAUAUUGCAAGUCCACGCCGAGGAUGGUGACAAGGGGAAUCCCCGGGAGGUGCGCUACGGAUUGGUAUCCGAGAACAAUCCGUUCACCUCGUUUUUCGACAUCAACGAAACCAGCGGCGAGAUCUUCCUGAUGCGACCCCUCGAGGACAUUGCCUUCAUCACGCAUGUGGGUGAUCCGGUGCUGCUCACCGUAAUUGCGGAAGAGGUUAAGGUGGGUCGUGACGAGCCGCCCGCACUGGCCUCCACGGUCCAAUUGGCGUUCUUUCUGCCCGAUCGCACCAAUUCGCCGCCGUACUUCGAGAACGAUCACUAUGUCUCGAGGGUGGACGAGAACGCCCCACAAGGCACCGCACUGACGUUCGUUGAUCCCUACGUGCCGCGGGUCUACGACGAUGAUACGGGCAAGAACGGCGUCUUCUCGCUGACGCUGCUCAACAACAACGGCACGUUCGAGAUCAGCCCCAAUGUGGCGGAACGGAGUGCCGGAUUCCUCAUCCGGGUGCGGGACAACUCCAUGCUGGACUACGAGCAGCAGCAGUCGGUGCAGUUCCAAAUCCUGGCCCAGGAACUCGGACCGGCCACCAAUCUCUCGGCGCUGGUCAACGUUACGGUGUAUAUCAACGAUGUGAACGACAAUGCUCCGGCUUUUGAGCAGCCAGCUUAUUCCGUAGAGCUGCCCGAGAACAUGACGGCGGGCACAAAGGUGGUCCAAGUGCUGGCCACCGAUCCCGACUCGGGAUUGGGUGGCAAGGUGCGCUAUACGGCCAUACUGGGCUAUCUGAACACCUCGCUGAAUCUGGACGCGGAGACGGGACUGAUCACGGUGUCCACCAACAAGCAUGGCUUCGAUCGGGAAGUGAUGCCCGAGUACCAUCUCUACGUGGAGGCCAGGGACAUGGAUGGCGAGGGAAAUCGGGCCCAGGUGCCAUUAAUAAUCAAACUAAUAGAUGUCAACGAUGAAACGCCUAUCUUCGAUAAGGAUCUUUACGAGUUCAUACUCACACACGAUCUGAUGGGCUUCACCACCACUGCCGUUAUCCAUGCGGAGGACAAGGACGCCACAGCUCCCAACAACGAGGUGCGCUACGAGAUCAUCAAUGGCAACUACGACAAUCAGUUUGUCCUAGACAAGGUAACCGGUGAGCUGACCGUCCGGGAGAAGAUCAACCUGCGCUCCAAGAAGAACGCCAAGACCAGGAGACGUCGGCAGGCGGGAUCAGCUGAUGAGGAUACGGACAUAUUCAUCCUGACAGCCAGGGCCUAUGAUCUGGGAGUACCGGUGCGGUUCUCCACCACCACGAUCCGUGUUUAUCCACCAGAGAGCCGGAAGCGCACUGUCAAGUUUGUGGUGCCAGGACACAAUCCGGACAAGGCCAAAACCGAAGAAACCCUGUCCGCCCUUUCCGGCGGCAAGGUGUACAUCCACAACAUCCGCCCAUUGAGUCCCGAUGAGCCGGGUGCCAAGGACAUACCAGCGGGUAAUCCGGGCAUCAAGGAGCGCAGUGUGGUGACGGCCACCGUGAUUUACGACAGCUCCUCGGUGGUGGACAUAUCGGAAAUCCAGCAGCGGCUGUCCCAUCACAACAACUCGUAUGCCAUUAUGCCGCAGGACACUUCCAGCACCGACACUCUCACUCCCCUGCAGACGCAGUACAAGGCCGAGAACAAGGUGCUCUUCUGGCUGCUCAUCCUGCUGGCCACCCUGGUGGCCCUGACCAUCCUGAUCCUGCUGCUCUGCUGCAUCUGCUCCUGGUGUCCACUGUACGGGGCGGCGACGUCGCAGAGUGGAUGGGAAGACGCGAUGCCUGGUCAGCGGAGAAACCUCCAGAUACCCGAACGAAGCCCACCCGCUGGGAGUUCCACGAUGGACGUGAACAGCUUGACGAAGACGUAGGAAGGGGCCAGGACAUCGGCGAAGGCGAUCGGCGGCACAUCCAAUCCGCCGAGGAGCAGCAGCGACGUGUUCGCAUCAAGCAUAACCGCACAGCCAAAGACGACCUUCAUCUUAAUUUCCAUAACUCUAGGACUAAUCUGAUCAACGACCGCGACGUAUACAUGGAGGAUG